AUUGAACGCUGGCGGCAUGCCUUACACAUGCAAGUCGAACGGUAACGCGGGGCAACCUGGCGACGAGUGGCGAACGGGUGAGUAAUAUAUCGGAACGUGCCCAGUAGUGGGGGAUAGCCCGGCGAAAGCCGGAUUAAUACCGCAUACGACCUACGGGUGAAAGCGGGGGAUCGCAAGACCUCGCGCUAUUGGAGCGGCCGAUAUCAGAUUAGGUAGUUGGUGGGGUAAAAGCCUACCAAGCCGACGAUCUGUAGCUGGUCUGAGAGGACGACCAGCCACACUGGGACUGAGACACGGCCCAGACUCCUACGGGAGGCAGCAGUGGGGAAUUUUGGACAAUGGGCGCAAGCCUGAUCCAGCCAUGCCGCGUGCGGGAAGAAGGCCUUCGGGUUGUAAACCGCUUUUGUCAGGGAAGAAAUCCUCUGGGUUAAUACCUCGGGGGGAUGACGGUACCUGAAGAAUAAGCACCGGCUAACUACGUGCCAGCCGCCGCCGUAAGAC
rnacentral:rRNA from 1 species